CCAUCACGGAGCCUGUUGGGUUUGUGCUGGAGGGCCCGCAGCCGCCACUCAGCUCUCCAGAGGCCACGGAGGGAGUCAGGGGCACGCUUUGGCAUCUCCUUGUUGGUGGUUAGGGAGCCCAUAUGAUGUUAAAACAAAAGAAGAAAUUCGGCGAAGGAGGCAGCCAAUCCCAUCUUUGAGGGAUGUUUCUGUCAAUCAGAAAAUGUUUUUAGAGCUGACCUGCUUGCAAAGCUGAGGCCAAGGAGAACUGAGUUCUUUGCCCAGGAGGACAGUAGUGACCUGCAUCCUGCAUCGUGGAAGAGAGAGCACGCCUCUGGAAACAGUGGCUGGGAUAUGCAAAGAACAUUUGGACAACUUCCAACAGUGGGAUAAGAGAAUCUGGACCUGUGUCUCAGUCAUGGAUAAGCAGGAGUGGAAAGGCUUUUAUGAACUCUUAGGACAGCUAGUCCCCUGGUAUCACACUGUGUCUACAUCUAAGGUCAA